UUAAUUUCUUUAAAAUAGCUUCUGUCAAUUUGUGCAACAGAGAUGUACCCAAUUUUGGGUGAAACUGACCAAGGUUCCAAAGUUACAAGACGGAAGUCACACUGACACACUGGCAUAAUGCAAGCCUUAUUUCUUUAGGAAACCAGUCCAGAAGAAUUACAUAAAAAUAUGAACUACCACCUAUAACAACAAUGUUAUUUGAUACUGAAAUGUAUUCUGUGUUAGCCUGCACAUAGUAUUUCUGCUAUACAUGUACUCCACACACGUGUGUGCACAUACAAACACAUAAGUACAUAUGUAUUAAGCUUGAUUUCAAUUCUUCAGGUUUAUAUCCACUAUCUUAAAUCACUGUAGACUCUAUAAAUUAAAAGUUGAUUGUUUCUAUGCACACACAAAAAAGAUGUAUUUGAUACAUUCAUUGUAAAACAGAUUCCCAUCAGAAAAUGAAAAACACAAGAAACAUGAAGUAUAAAAAAACUAUUAUGUCCAGUACAGUAUGCCUUCAUACUUACACUCUGAUCAUGGUGGCUCUCUACAACUAUGUUCUUUUGCCUUGAUAAAUGUAGUCUUGCCCAACAUAAAGUCAUACAAAAUAUUACCAUGAAGAUACUUUUUUCUGAUUCAUGUCACCCUUCUACACUCUUCCAGUGCCUUCCUUAUCCCUUCACCAUCAAACAUGAACUACAUAUCUUCAUUUGUAUGACCUUUCAAAUACAAAACUAUAGCAUAUAUGUCAACUUUCACUUGCUACCAAGAUAUCAGCCUUAGCCACCUCUUUGCCAGGGCUAGCCUUACUUAUCUGUAGAGGGAUGAAGCUGGGUGAAUUAACAUUGAUAACAUACAGCUGUGGGCUGGCUUCAGGGGCAGGGGGUUGGCUGAUGUAGAUAAAAGUGCAGCUGUGGCUGCUUCUGUUAAGGGGUUGGGCGGCCAAUGAAGAAGCAGCGAGAACACUUUCCUUGGGUGAAGAGAAGGCAGCGGAGGGACUGACAUGAAGAGUAUGCUGGUAUGAGAUGAAAAAAUGGAAGAGAAAACCAGCCAGACCCAGUAGAGAAAGAAGAUAUGAAAAAACAGCUGAAGACACAUCCCAACAACCCUUUUCCUGCCUAACCAAGAUUUCUCCCUACACACCACCGAAAUGGACACGAUUAACAAAAAGCCUUGCUACUGAGUCUACUCUUAAGUGUGAUGUAAUUACAACCACAAAAACCGAAACGUACCUGAAGUCCUCAAAAGAUUUUAUUUUUUUAAAAAAAAUCUGCUUUCAAAUUAAUAAAAAGGAUGAGAUUUUUGAC